CACCCACCGUCCAGAGCCAGCUGCUGACUCACCUGACCGGACCGCGCAAUGGGACGGCAGUGAGCUUCUCAGACUGAAGAUGGCAUAAAUCCAACAGCGAAGAGGAGAGGAGGCGGGAUCUGCCUUCUAGUCUUGCACAAUGUUCCCCUCUCUGCCCGCCCUUCCACCUUGUCUGGGUGCCACAGACCCUCCCUAGGCAGGGUCAUGGUCCUUCCGGUAGAGUUGCGCCCAGAGAUUUGUUUCCAUGGAGACCUGACAUCCCAUAAGACAAUCGAGAUCACGAGAUCAGCUGCUACAAUGAAGUUCAGACAAGACAUACCUUCUCUCACGUUGGAGAGAAGGGACAAGGAGGAUGCGCAGGAUUAGCAAGAGCACCGAAUGAAGACGGCACUGACUCCCCAAAUUCAACUGGCAGAAAGCAUGAGGCCGUAUCAUCUCAUACUCCUGUGGGUGGCCUAAGAUUGCUCAAACUGCAAUUGGAAGGUCAAGAAAAACAGUUAGAGGCCCCUCCCCAGGGGCUGCAGUAGGGACAGCUUCCCUGAAGAUGUGUGUCAAUGGGAGCAUCCUAACUCCUGGGGACGGUAAAGAGCAUGCAGAAGUCCACGAUUCCUGAAGGCUGUAGUGCAGACCUAGGCUACUUUUCCUGAAGGACAACCGAGAGGAGCUCAAAAGGCAGAAGAGUAUGGGACUCACCAUCUCCUUCACCUUUUACUUUGAACAGCAAAGUGCUUGCCCUAGGCUUGUCCCCAUGCUAGGAUACCUGGCCCCAGGCGCCACACUUGAAGGACUGCAACAAGAUGCCAGGCUGCAUCUGAGCCCUGAGUAGAUGCAGGUUUUGGAUGUGAGUGGAUUUGGCUCUUGCUCUUGCCUUUGAGGUCCUCUCUGUCAUUUCUUCUGGAGGGCAGUCCUGGACUGCAACUGCAAACUGCAGUUGAUGGGUUCAGGAGGAAGUGAGGAGGGGUGAAUGUUUGUUUUCUGAGUGAAUGUUUGCCGUGCUGGCUUUAAAUUGGGCAUCUUCCUGUUUCUGCCUCCCAAGUGUGGGAUUAUGGUUCCCUUCAUAGUGCCCAGAUCGGUGAGUUGGUUCUGCAUGUGGGGGAAAUGUAAAUGACUGUGGCUGGCACACAGGCCAUGGCAGUUUUAAAAACUCCUUCCUUAGGGCCUGUGGAGUCUCAUUUCUUCCUGUAUGGGCUGGAUAUACGGACUUGUUUCAAACAAAUGAAAACUGGCGGAAUCA